AUUGAACGCUGGCGGCAGGCCUAACACAUGCAAGUCGAACGAGUGGCGGACGGGUGAGUAAUGUCUGGGAACCUGCCUGAUGGAGGGGGAUAACAACUGGAAACGGUAGCUAAUACCGCAUACCAUCAGAUGUGCCCCGAUGGGAUUAGCUAGUAGGUGGGGUAACGGCUCACCUAGGCGACGAUCCCUAGCUGGUCUGAGAGGAUGACCAGCCACACUGGAACUGAGACACGGUCCAGACUCCUACGGGAGGCAGCAGUGGGGAAUAUUGCACAAUGGGCGCAAGCCUGAUGCAGCCAUGCCGCGGGUAUGAAGAAGGCCUUCGGGUUGUAAAGUACGUUCAGCGGGGAGGCGUUACCCGCAGAAGAAGCACCGGCUAACUCCGUGCCAGCAGCCGCGGUAAUUC
rnacentral:rRNA from 1 species